ACGAACGCUGGCGGCGUGCUUAACACAUGCAAGUCGAACGGAAAGGCCCUGCUUGCAGGGUGCUCGAGUGGCGAACGGGUGAGUAACACGUGGGUGAUCUGCCCCUUACUUUGGGAUAAGCCUGGGAAACUGGGUCUAAUACUGGAUAGGGCCAUGCUGUAGGUGGUGUGGUGGAAAGAUUAGUUUCGGUAAGGGAUGAGCUCGCGGCCUAUCAGCUUGUUGGUGGGGUAAUGGCCUACCAAGGCGUCGACGGGUAGCCGGCCUGAGAGGGUGGACGGCCACAUUGGGACUGAGAUACGGCCCAGACUCCUACGGGAGGCAGCAGUGGGGAAUAUUGCACAAUGGGCGCAAGCCUGAUGCAGCGACGCCGCGUGGGGGAUGACGGCCUUCGGGUUGUAAACUCCUUUCAGCCAUGACGAAGCCCUUGUGGUGACGGUAGUGGUAGAAGAAGCACCGGCUAACUACGU
rnacentral:rRNA from 1 species